rnacentral:rRNA from 1 species
CCAGACUCCUACGGGAGGCAGCAGUGGGGAAUAUUGCACAAUGGGGGAAACCCUGAUGCAGCGACGCCGCGUGAGCGAUGAAGUAUUUCGGUAUGUAAAGCUCUAUCAGCAGGGAAGAAAAUGACGGUACCUGACUAAGAAGCCCCGGCUAACUACGUGCCGGCAGCCGCGGUAAUACGUAGGGGGCAAGCGUUAUCCGGAUUUACUGGGUGUAAAGGGAGCGUAGACGGUCCUGCAAGCCAGAUGUGAAAGCCCGGGGCGCAACCCCGGGACUGCAGUUGGAACUGUAAGGCUAGAGAGUCGGAGAGGCAGGCGGAAUUCCUAGUGUAGCGGUGAAAGGCGUAGAUAUUAGGAGGAACACCAGUGGCGAAGGCGGCUUACUGGACGAUGACUGACGCUGAGGCUCGAAAGCGUGGGGAGCAAACAGGAUUAGAUACCCCGGUACAU